AUUGAACGCUGGCGGCAGGCUUAACACAUGCAAGUCGAGCGGGGGAAGGUAGCUUGCUACUGGACCUAGCGGCGGACGGGUGAGUAAUGCUUAGGAAUCUGCCUAUUAGUGGGGGACAAAAUCUCGAAAGGGAUGCUAAUCCCGCAUACGUCCUACGGGAGAAAGCAGGGGAUCUUCGGACCUUGCGCUAAUAGAUGAGCCUAAGUCGGAUUAGCUAGUUGGUGGGGUAAAGGCCUACAAAGGCGACGAUCUGUAGCGGGUCUGAGAGGAUGAUCCGCCACACUGGGACUGAGACACGGCCCAGACUCCUACGGGAGGCAGCAGUGGGGAAUAUUGGACAAUGGGGGAAACCCUGAUCCAGCCAUGCCGCGUGUGUGAAGAAGGCCUUAUGGUUGUAAAGCACUUUAAGCGAGGAGGAGGCUACUUUAGUUAAUACCUAGAGAUAGUGGACGUUACUCGCAGAAUAAGCACCGGCUAACUCUGUGCCAGCCGCCGCCGUAA
rnacentral:rRNA from 1 species